rnacentral:hammerhead_ribozyme from 1 species
AUUCAGCUGACGAAUUUCAAGUAAGACGAGACGCGCGUCUUGGAU